GGCCGGUUAGCUCAGCUGGUUAGAGCGUGGUGCUAAUAACGCCAAGGUCCUGCGUUUGAUCCCCAUACUGGCCA
rnacentral:tRNA from 1 species